AUUGAACGCUGGCGGCAGGCCUAACACAUGCAAGUCGAACGAGUGGCGGACGGGUGAGUAAUGUCUGGGAAACUGCCCGAUGGAGGGGGAUAACUACUGGAAACGGUCGCUAAUACCGCAUACCAUCGGAUUUGCCCAGAUGUGAUUAGCUAGUAGGUGGGGUAACGGCUCACCUAGGCGACGAUCCCUAGCUGGUCCGAGAGGCUGACAAGCCAAACUGGAACUGAGGCACGGUCCAGACUCCUACGGUAGGCAGCAGGGGGGAAUAUGGCGCAAUGGGCGCAAGCCUGAUGCAGCCAUGCCGCGUGUAUGAAGAAGGCCUUCGGGUUGUAAAGUACUUUCAGCGAGGAGGCGUUACUCGCAGAAGAAGCACCGGCUAACUCCGUGCCAGCAGCCGCGGUAAUAC
rnacentral:rRNA from 1 species